rnacentral:rRNA from 1 species
UUGGGCACUGUCUCAACCAGAGACUCGGUGAAAUUAUAGUACCUGUGAAGAUGCAGGUUACCCGCGACAGGACGGAAAGACCCCGUGGAGCUUUACUGUAGCCUGAUAUUGAAUUUUGGUACAGUUUGUACAGGAUAGGCGGGAGCCUUUGAAACCGGAGCGCUAGCUUCGGUGGAGGCGCUGGUGGGAUACCGCCCUGACUGUAUUGAAAUUCUAACCUACGGGUCUUAUCGACCCGGGAGACAGUGUCAGGUGGGCAGUUUGACUGGGGCGGUCGCCUCCUAAAGUGUAACGGAGGCGCCCAAAGGUUCCCUCAGAAUGGUUGGAAAUCAUUCGUAGAGUGCAAAGGCAUAAGGGAGCUUGACUGCGAGACCUACAAGUCGAGCAGGGACGAAAGUCGGGCUUAGUGAUCCGGUGGUUCCGCAUGGAAGGGCCAUCGCUCAACGGAUAAAAGCUACCCCGGGGAUAACAGGCUUAUCUCCCCCAAGAGUCCACAUCGACGGGGAGGUUUGGCACCUCGAUGUCGGCUCAUCGCAUCCUGGGGCUGUAGUCGGUCCCAAGGGUUGGGCUGUUCGCCCAUUAAAGCGGUACGCGAGCUGGGUUCAGAACGUCGUGAGACAGUUCGGUCCCUAUCCGUCGUGGGCGUAGGAAUUUUGAGAGGAGCUGUCCUUAGUACGAGAGGACCGGGAUGGACGCACCGCUGGUGUACCAGUUGUUCUGCCAAGGGCAUAGCUGGGUAGCUAUGUGCGGAAGGGAUAAGUGCUGAAAGCAUCUAAGCAUGAAGCCCCCCUCAAGAUGAGAUUUCCCAUAGCGUAAGCUAGUAAGAUCCCUGAAAGAUGAUCAGGUUGAUAGGUUCGAGGUGGAAGCAUGGUGACAUGUGGAGCUGACGAAUACUAAUAGAUCGAGGACUUAACCAU